UUUCUGUCCUGGUUGUUCCUGGAUCAUAAAGAGAUCCUUGGGUUGCUGCUUUGCAGUCAGACCUUACUCUUUCUGUGGAGAUGAAGAUGGAGGCCGGAGGUCGUUUGGUGCAGGUGUCUCACAGCCUCCUGAUGCCUGGACCAGAAAGCUUUUGCCCUCGUUCUUCCCUCCAGGCAGCAGCAUGGGGCUGCUGGGACAGCGGCACUCCCAUAGGAGGGCAUGCCAUCCCCUCAGGAAGAAAGCCACACGGACAGGGCUACCCUCUGCCCAUCCUCACAGCACACCGCAUCGGCUGUUGGCCUCAGGAAGGGGUGCCUCCCACACCACCCAGCACUGCUCUGACUCUCAUGGAUCUCUCACGUGCUUGACAGUAACUAGAUGCACCUCUGUGGUCCCAGAAGGAAAGUGGGGCCAGAGAUACCCAUGGUUCUGUAGUCCCGAGCCAGGGAAAGCUGUCACUUUCCUACAUGUUCACUAAAAUUGGAGCAAUGUUAGGCUAGGAUAUACCCCCAUGAUAGACCACGUGUCUAACACAAGGCUCUUGGUUCAAUCCCUAGCACUUAAAAAAAAGUUAUUUGGCCAAUGGCCAAUCUUUAAAAAUCUGUGAGGGCUGGGAAUGUGAUUUGGUGAUAAAAAUAAACAAAAAGUAAACUAAUGAAAGC
rnacentral:lncRNA from 1 species